GGGAAUAUUGCACAAUGGGGGAAACCCUGAUGCAGGGACGCCGCGUGAGUGAAGAAGUAUCUCGGUACGUAAAGCUCUAUCAGCAGGGAAGAAAAUGACGGUACCUGACUAAGAAGCCCCGGCUAACUACGUGCCAGCAGCCGCGGUAAUACGUAGGGGGCAAGCGUUAUCCGGAAUCACUGGGUGUAAAGGGAGCGUAGACGGCUGAGCAAGCCUGAAGUGAAAGGCGGGGGCCCAACCCCCGGACUGCUUUGGGAACUGUACGUCUGGAGUGCAGGAGAGGUAAGUGGAAUUCCUAGUGUAGCGGUGAAAUGCGUAGAUAUUAGGAGGAACACCAGUGGCGAAGGCGGCUUACUGGACUGUAACUGACGUUGAGGCUCGAAAGCGUGGGGAGCAAACAG
rnacentral:rRNA from 1 species